AUGGAAGCCAGGGUGCUUGGGAGCCCCACACCUACCUACCAUCUUCUCCCCAAGGCCAACCAGCACACUGUAAAAGAAGAUGCCAAUUCACUGUCUCAAUGAUCUCCAGAAACUAUGCAGCUGAAGAAGGAGAUCUCCUUGCUGAACUGGGUUAGCCUGGUGGUGGGCAACAUGAUUGGCUCAGGAAUCUUUGUCUCGCUCAAGGGUGUUCUAAAAUAUACUGCUUCCUAUGGGUUGUCACUUGUAGUGUGGGCCAUUGGUGGGCCCUUCUCUGUUGUGUGUGCCCUUUGUUAUGUAGAACUGGGGACCACUAUCACCAAGUCAUGGACUAGCUAUGCUUAUAUUCUAGAGGCCUUCGGGGGCCUCAUUGCCUUUAUCCGUCUGUAGGUCUCACUUAUAAUUGUCGAGUCCACCAGUCAGGCCAUCAUCACCAUCACCUUUGUCAACUAUAUCAUCAAGCCCUCCUUCCCGACCUGUGAUCCUCCAUAUGUGGCCUACCGUCUCCUUGCUGCUGCCUGCAUAUGUCUGCUGACGUUUGUGUACUGUGCCUAUGUCAAGUGGGGCACACGAGUAUAAGACACAUUCACGUAUGCCAAGGUCCUGGCACUCAUUGCCAUCAUUAUCAUUUGCCUUGUUAAACUGUGUCAGGGACACACUAGGCACUUUCAGGAUGCCUUUAAAGGUUCCUUGUGGAAUGUGGGAGACCUCUCUCUUGCCCUGUACUCUGCCCUCUUCUCUUAAUCAGGUUGGGACACCCUUAAUUUUGUAACAGAAGAAAUAAAAAACCCAGAAAGGAAUUUGCCCUUGGCUAUUGGGAUUUCUAUGCCAAUUUUGACACUCAUCUACAUCUUUACAAACAUGGCCUAUUACACAGUGAUGAACAUUCAGGAUGUCCAUAAGAGUGAUGCUGUGGCUGUGACAUUUGCUGACCAGACAUUUGGCAUGUUCAGUUGGACCAUCCCCAUUGCUGUUGCUCUUUCGAGCUUUGGGGGCCUAAAUGCAUCAAUCUUUGCUUCAUCUAGGUUGUUUUUCUUGGGCUCUCGUGAGGGCCACCUCCCGAAUCUUCUGUCCAUGAUCCACAUUGAGUGCUUUACACCUGUGCCUGCAUUAUUGUUCAAUUGCACCAUGACACUUAUCUACCUCGUCAUGAAGGACGUUUUCCUGCUCAUCAACUACCUCAGCUUCAGCUACUGGUUCUUUGUGGGCUUGUCUGUUGUUGGACAGCUCUACCUUUGCUGGAAAGAGCCUGACUGGCCUUGACCUCUCAAGCUGAGCCUCUUUCUUCCCAUCAUGUUCUGUGUAUGUUCCUUGUUUCGUGGCUGUACACCUCUUCAGUGACACCAUCAAUUCCCUCAUUGGCAUUGGGAUUGCCCUGUCUGGGGUCCCUGUCUACUUCAUGAGUGUUUACUUGCCAAAGUCCCAGAGGCCACUCUUUAUUAGGAAUGUUCUGGGUACCAUCACCAGAGUAACCCAGAACUUCUGCAUCUUGACUGAGCUAGAUGUAGCUGAAGAGAAAAAUGUUGAGAGGAAAACUGACUAG